UUGGAGGGCAAGUCUGGUGCCAGCAGCCGCGGUAAUUCCAGCUCCAAUAGCGUAUAUUAAAGUUGUUGCAGUUAAAAAGCUCGUAGUUGAAUUUCGGGGUCAGUAGAUUGGUCGUGCCACUGGUAUGUACUGGUCUCACUGGCUCCUCCUUCCUGAUGAACCGUAAUGCCAUUAAUUUGGUGUUGCAGGGAGACUGGACUGUUACUUUGAAAAAAUUAGAGUGUUUAAAGCAGGCUAACACUUGAAUACAUUAGCAUGGAAUAAUGAAAUAGGACGUUCGAUCUUAUUUUGUUGGUUUCUAAGAUUGACGUAAUGAUUAAUAGGGAUAGUUGGGGGCAUUAGUAUUCAAUUGCCAGAGGUGAAAUUCUUGGAUCUAUUGAAGACUAACUACUGCGAAAGCAUUUGCCAAGGAUGUUUUCAUUAAUCAAGAACGAAAGUUAGAGGAUCGAAGACGAUCAGAUACCGUCGUAGUCUUAACCAUAAACUAUGCCGACUAGGGAUCGGAUGAUGUUAAUUUUUUAAUGACUCAUUCGGCGCCUUACGGGAAACCAAAGUGUUUGGGUUC
rnacentral:rRNA from 1 species